rnacentral:rRNA from 1 species
GACAGAGGAUGCAAGCGUUAUCCGGAAUGAUUGGGCGUAAAGCGUCUGUAGGUGGCUUUCUAAGUCUGCCGUCAAAUCCCAGGGCUCAACCCUGGCCAGGCGGUAGAGACUAUUAAGCUUGAGUACGGUAGGGGCAGAGGGAAUUUCCGGUGGAGCGGUGAAAUGCGUAGAGAUCGGAAAGAACACCAACAGCGAAGGCACUCUGCUGGGCCGACACUGACACUGAGAGACGAGAGCUAGGGGAGCAAAUGGG